GGACUACCAGGGUAUCUAAUCCUGUUCGCUCCCCACGCUUUCGCACCUCAGCGUCAGUGCCGGCCCAGUCCACCGCCUUCGCCACCGGUGUUCUUCCUGAUAUCUGCGCAUUUCACCGCUACACCAGGAGUUCCAUGGACCCCUACCGGACUCUAGCCAUGGCAGUAUCGGGUGGCAGCUCCAGGUUGAGCCUGGAGGUUUCACACCCGACUUGCCAAGCCGCCUACGUGCUCUUUACGCCCAAUGAAUCCGGACAACGCUUGCCCCCUACGUAUUACCGCGGCUGCUGGCAC
rnacentral:rRNA from 1 species